rnacentral:rRNA from 1 species
AGUGAACGCUGGCGGUAGGCCUAACACAUGCAAGUCGAACGGCAGCACAGUAAGAGCUUGCUCUUACGGGUGGCGAGUGGCGGACGGGUGAGGAAUACAUCGGAAUCUACUUUUUCGUGGGGGAUAGCGUAGGGAAACUUACGCUAAUACCGCAUACGACCUACGGGUGAAAGCAGGGGAUCUUCGGACCUUGCGCGAUUGAAUGAGCCGAUGUCGGAUUAGCUAGUUGGCGGGGUAAAGGCCCGCCAAGGCGACGAUCCGUAGCUGGUCUGAGAGGAUGAUCAGCCACACUGGAACUGAGACACGGUCCAGACUCCUACGGGAGGCAGCAGUGGGGAAUAUUGGACAAUGGGCGCAAGCCUGAUCCAGCCAUACCGCGUGGGUGAAGAAGGCCUUCGGGUUGUAAAGCCCUUUUGUUGGGAAAGAAAAGCAGCAGGUUAAUACCCCGCUGUUCUGACGGUACCCAAAGAAUAAGCACCGGCUAACUUCGUG